rnacentral:rRNA from 1 species
UACGAAGGGUGCAAGCGUUAAUCGGAAUUACUGGGCGUAAAGCGUGCGCAGGCGGUGAUGUAAGACAGAUGUGAAAUCCCCGGGCUCAACUUGGGAACUGCAUUUGUGACUGCAUCGCUGGAGUGCGGCAGAGGGGGAUGGAAUUCCGCGUGUAGCAGUGAAAUGCGUAGAUAUGCGGAGGAACACCGAUGGCGAAGGCAAUCCCCUGGGCCUGCACUGACGCUCAUGCACGAAAGCGUGGGGAGCAAACAGG